GAACUCCUCUGAGGGCUGAGGGGCCGCGGGGCCUGCCGGGCCCGGCACAGAGACCCCUCAGCUCCCGGCUGGGUGUGCCUGGGGACAGCGAGAGCUCAGCGAGCCCACACCAGGCACACACUGCCCGGCUGUGUGGGAAAGCACAGGGCCGAGGGCAGGGCCGGCAGAGCCGCCCCACGGCCCACCCGCUGCAGGACUCACACACCACCCUCACGGUGCCGGGUCCCAGCUCUUCCCACAGGAAGGGCCCCUCCUCGCCCGCUGCUGCUGGGUGAGGGCAGCGAGAGCUAAACAAAAGGAAAACAGUAUCACUCAUCAAAGUUGAACAGAAACCUUUCCUAAAUCUACAUGAGGAGAUUCUGACAGCAGUUUCUUGUUCUUCCAAAGAAUACUGUAGCUCCAAAGUGAGACUGAGGAUGUUCUCAAGGCAAACGAUCUGACCCAAGAUUCAAAAACACUUAGAAGGAAAAACCAAGAAUUUUCACCACUGGAUUUUACUUUUUGGGAUGCCACUGUGAGCAACUACUUGCACUGGAGGUCCAAGUGCAGGAACUGCAGGGCACACCACGUGUGCACCAAUUGCUGGUGUAGGAUAUGAAAGUGCAAAUACCUGAACACCUUGCAGGGCAGUCCGAGACAGAUGUGCUGUAACAGCAAAAGAAAAAGCUAUCUGAGUGUGAAUUUAGCCAGAAAACGCAGAAUAAACACAGCAAAAGCCAAAACAUCAUAAAAUAAACAUUUAAGUACCGUUA